UAUCGAUCAAUGUGAGACGUUCGAUUUAUCGAAUCCCGAAGUGGCCCCACUGGACCAACAGCUAAAAGACAGUGAGAUCACAGACGAAACCACCAUGGCCUUGAAGAAGCUCAUCGCCACCACUCUCCGCCUCCGAUCCCUCUCCACGGCCGCGGCCGUCGCUCCAACUCCGCCACCCACGGCAGAACCCUACGAAGUCGGAGAGAAAUGAGCCGGCUUUAUGAGAUGGUGAAGGAGGGGAUUGAAGAGCAUCCACUGAUCCAUAGACCUUUCGCAAUGGGAAUUGCAAUUCAGUGAGAAGAGAUGAAUGUAAUUACAAUAUUGUGCAGGUCUAGUCCAUUUAGCUGCAUCUUGGGCAGCUUGGGUGUGUGGGGUCAACCGGCGCAACCCUGAGCAACAAGAAAGCAAAAAUGCUGCGGCAUUGUGUUGUCUUUGCGAUCUUUUGGAUUAUUUGGUUGGAAAGGAAUGUGAGAAUCUUUGUGGUCGCAUAUUUGGAUUCAAUUUGGGAGAGAGAGUGUCAUUUGGCUUCGUUUUAGGCUCAUGUCUCUCCUUUGUUUAAAGGGGUUUCACUUUUUUUGAUUUCCGAAGAUUGGAAAGCUGUUUGUGAAUCUUCAUAUCUUUUCUUUGAUAUGCUUUAUCGUGGUUUUUUAUGUUGUGUAAGAGGACAUCUUGUCCUCUCUUUGUACCUCUUUUUUCAGUAUUAAUGAAUUAUCUUUUUGUUGCUCUGAUAUAAAAUUUAAAAAAGGAAAAAGAAAAGAAAAGAAAAGAAGAGAGAAAUGGAAAUCACCACUGCUGCAUGUUCCGCUGUGUGUGUGUGAAUUGAGUACAGUUAUGUGGCUUCAGAAUUCAGAUUAGGAAUAGAUGGUGAGAGUCUUUAAGAUUGGAAAUGGGCCAUUUACUACAUAAAGUUUCCCUUGUAAAGAGAACUUGAGAUGAGUUGAAAGAGAGAAAAAGAGAUUGCAAACAAACAAGUGCCGGCCAUAUAGACAAAAAUAGGAGAAAGCUGAAAAUGAAGUGGAUUGAAGCUGUGGAAGGAGGGAUCAGAAGCAUGCAUUAAACAGUUGAGUGUUUGACGUCAGGGUUGUACUUUGUUUCAAGAAUCUUGAAACUUUGUCUUGGACUAGAUAGAUCAAGUAGUAGAUAUACAUAUUCUGUAUUACCAUUUGAUUUUUCUUAGAAAGUUCAAGUGUCAUUUUAUCUUGGCUCAGUUGGAUCCACUUGUAGAUCCAAAGUCUGAUGUCCUGGUUUUCCUUAGUUUAUCAAGAAUUUCCAAUUCUUGCUCGAGUCUGCCUUUGUCAUGCUUGAUCAACUGUUGGAAGCAUCUCGGCUGUGGUACUGUUAAAUAAUUCCUUCUUUCUUAAAAAAUGUUGUAUGUGGAUCAAGUUUGGUCUAAUGCCAGAACCGCUGAUGUUACAUUUUUCUGUUAUUUUUGGUUAACCAAAAAUGUGGAAUGGUUUUAUUCUUAAUAGUUUUCAAAAUCCUCAGGUUGUCAGAUAUGUCAAAGCUUGUUCUGGCUUUGAUCGCUCAGAUUUGGUCCAAUAAAAGUAGUUUGUGUGGUGCGUAUGGCAUUUUGUGGAAACCUUCAGUGGAAUGUUUUCAGGCCCAUCUCUUUUAUAGAUUAUUUCUAAACAUGCAAACACUUUGGUUGGCAUUUCUCAAGAAUCCGUUGAAGUUAAGUUUGUGUAUGUGCUGGGGAACUAUCGAACAAAAUUUCUUUAUUGAUUUAGCGUCAUCAUGGCAUGAGAUUUUCCUACCUUCGCUCUACUUGGUGUAAGCUGGAGUGUACAAUCUUGAAGCCUUAUUCUUGUGUCAUUAUAGGGGAAAGAAGAUAAAACAGAGUAUCUCGUGAUCACCAUUUCUAACUCAACAUUUAGAAAUUCCAAGUUUUCAUGUCUUAGCUCACAUCUAGUCUUCCUCGUUGUUGAGUUUGAAGUUGAUAUGAGGUUUCAUUUUUUGGACUUAUUUCUUUCUUUCAUGAUCAGCUCAGAGUUUCUGUAUGAUGAUUCAACUGUUUAAGCAUUGGAGACAAAGUGAAUUUGCUGAUAUUCUGAAAUUUCAUGUAACUUGAUCCUAACAUUCUUGCCGUGCCGUGGCAUGCUAAGGGGAACAUGUUGCAGAUAUGCGUCAAUUCUAACUGAUGACUGUUUGGUUGAGGGAGUAUGAUUUGAAAGUGUGUUGUAAAACCUAAAGCCAGAUCUCAGAUCAGUAGUUUUGUUAAUUUGUUCUUCAUGUAGCAUCCCUUUUAUUGCAACAAACAUAAAAUAUCUGUUAGUUGGGGCACCAAGAAGUCCAAUUUUUGUACUUAUAUUAAAUUGAAUAGCUGACUUUGCAUUCAUUGUUUUUGUAUCACGUGUAUAAUUUAUCUUUACAAUGGCUUGAUCACAGCCUCAGACACAGUUCUUUGGACUCCUUAGGUUUGUUAUUCCUAUUAAACAUACUUGUCCAUGUGUUUUAUUUGAUCUGGGAAAGAUGGUCAUAGAAACUGGAUAGCUAUUUUGGUUAAUCAUAACAGUUAUAUUACAGACCUUCAAAUUGAUUUUAGUAGGUGCCAAACCUUUCUCCUCUCUUCUUUUUUUUUUUUUUUUUUUUUUUUUUUUUUU